rnacentral:tRNA from 2 species
GCGUCGGUGGUGGAGUGGUCAAUCACAAGAGACUGUAAAUCUCUCGACUUCGGUCUUCGAAGGUUCGAAUCCUUCCCGACGCACAA